CUUAGGCUGCUUUUUGAAAGGAGCGAGCAGUGGUUUUUCAGGGACGGAAAACACCUUAGUUGGUCUGAAGAAAACAGGACAGUUAAGUGACAAACAUCUGGAAGUAUUACUGAGGAAGCCUCGCUUUGUGGAAAAAUGAAGGAAAGUGUUCCAGUUUUUAAAUGACUUGGAUCUGCUCUCUGUUGAAAUUGUAUUUCUGGUUUGGGAACUUUCAGAGGGCCUUGAAAUCUGGGAUAUGA
rnacentral:lncRNA from 1 species